rnacentral:rRNA from 1 species
UGGAGAGCGUGUAUCGCAGGUAAUAAACAAGAGAGGAGGGGUCGAUCCCAAGUGCUGCGGCGGCGGCAGGCGCGAGCACGAGAGAGAGAAGUAGAGGGUAGGGCUCGACCUGGAGGAGGUUGGUGUAGAGGGGACUAGAAGAGCUAGCUAAACCUAGAGUCCUCGCUUGGCCUCCUUCCGGUCCACGGGCAACGGCUCUGUCCCCGCUACUCUUCACCCAGCGGCGGCGGCGGCGGUAGGGCCGAGUUUCGCCGCUGGGUUCCUCCUCGAGGCCUGAGUGUCCUCCUCGAGUUCGUCGCCGCCACCAGGUGUUGCGGUAGUACCAGAAGGAGACGUCCUCGUCGCGCUCGGUAUCUCUGCAGGACGGGGUCGCAGCGGCGGGCAGGUGGGCUGCUUGCUCUCUCCGUAGUUCCCCCUCUACGUGCCGUCUCUACGUGUGCGAGAAGGGACACCCUACUGCCACCACAAGGAAGGAGGUUGUUUUAAGGUCGGGGAACUAUGUAUCAGUCUAAGUCGGGGUGUGGUCGCUCACGAAUACCGCUGCUGCUACUGUUUCGUUCGACUGACGAUAAAGGCCUCAUAAUGACCUACUACGAAACAUGUCGUCGUUGUGUGUGCAUGUGUUGUCGGAGACGACUAGCUAAGACACCGGCCGGUUUUUUGCGACACGUCCGGUUGUUUUAGUUAACCUGACGGUGUCCCUAACCCAGCUCGGCCGCUGGUUCGUCCCUCUAAGGUUAGUAGACUUAAAAACUACCUCAGGUAACCUACCUAGUUACCUUCUUCUCCAUCUUUUCGCGGAUCAUUAACUAUGACCAUCAAGGAACCACUUGAACGGUAGUUACCGAAAGAAGAAGCUAUUUACAUUCGGUAACCUCCUUCCUCUGCUUCUCCGACCCUCAAUUAAAGGUCGCUUAAUUAGACCCCUAAACUAAACGACCACCCGUGACUCCUUGUCAAUUAAAGGUCGCUUAAUAAGACCUCUUAAGCUACGCAGACCAUUAGACGAAGCUCUCAAGAGGAAACCCGAUACUUUUUCUCUGAUCAUCAAACCAACACCCGGAGCCACCCAUCACCAAUGUGUCAAUCGACGGUCAUCAUGAUAAAGAAAGAGAAAUUUAGAGUGCCAAGUAAAUAAACAUAAGGGGGGCGAGUUGAAAAAAUAGAUCAGGAGAGUAAUUAUGUACGAAUCUGUUUAAUCUCCGGGGUUUUUAAAACCCCGGGACACGUCGACGAGGCCAACGUGUACGUCUCUAUGCCGGGACGAACCGUAGUUCUGUUAAAUUCAUAUAAGUUAUUACGUCCCCUACAAUUUAGAUGACAAUAAACACUUAUCAUGAGAAAAAAAACGAUACCAAGGUAAACACCAAAGAGUACAUCGUUACAGUACCAAGCAAUUUAGAAAGUGUGUGUUACUUUACAAAUCCUUUGAGCUAGGUCAUUUCACCUCACAAUUAAAUAGAUUUAUGCAAAUCAUUCAAGUAGUACAUCGUUUAAAACGGUAUUUUAAACAGUACUUUCAUAUGAAAUAGCCGUGAUAAAAGGAUAUAUAUAAUAAAGACACGAUCUGUAAAAAGUCGAUUGAUCUUUUUUUUAUGUAGUGGACUUUUCUGAUGCAUGCAUUGAGUUAUCAAUUAGGUCACGGUGUACAUCUUCAUCUGACCAAUGUCUUAGAAAGGUUGUUAGACCGUUCAUGACGUAUAUAGAUUGAACAAUGUCUUACGUUUACUGCCUUCUUGAGACUGUUCACGUGGAACUAGGAAUGACUUCCUCUAAGUUGUUUCCGAAACCGAUACCGCCUACCCUAGUGAUACCACACAAAGGAGAGUCCCCAUUUAAAUUUAAUUUACACUCUCUUCGUUCGGUAUUCGUCAAUUACCCCUUACGUCUCUAGGUUUUAUACUUCUUUUAUAAUCCAGACGUUGUACUUUUCUUCAUACUAUCGUGCUUUCCGAACUCUAUACUGGUGGAAUACUAUUACUGUCUAAUCCAAACGGGCUGUUGAAAAAGUCCUGUUACGUACUCUAUCGUAAACGUAGAUGAUUAUUCGGUUUCGAUGAAUCGGUCCUUUCGUACUAGCGAACCUGUAGUAUUCGUUAAACACUACGGCUCCUAGAACAUCUCCUAAAUCCUUUCACUUAAGGUUGUAAUAACUUCGUUUUAACCACUUCAACUUACUCCUAACCUCUACCGCACAUUGGAUGAAUGUGUAUCUACCUCUGAGCCCUACCGACUAGAUGUGUCCGCACCCGUGGUACAAAUAAUGAGAAACAAUGGGUUGUAUUAAAGGCAAAUAUUUAAAUCGAUCGCCGGCACGUGUAGAACUCCACAGGCAGUUGAGGUUUGUGUUCGGGGUAAGGGGACAUACUGAUUUAAGUCCAUAAGCACUCCACUUAUUCUAUAUAUUACAAUUUUGGACAUCAAAACAAUAGUUACCAAAACGUAACACAGAACGACGUUUACUUAAUUAACAAAAAACGUACAGAUUAAAAAUGCUACACAACUCCGGAAGUAUUACAAUUAAAACUUAAAUUCUUGACACGAGAAUUCUAUACAGGAAAUUGGUAAACAAAAGAAGAAAACGGCUAAAGUUCUUUAUCAAGGAAAUUUACAACCUUUACAAGAACCAUGAUUUCUGUUACAACGUCGUUUCUUCACCCAUAGUGAAUAACUACUGGUCCACUACUUAUAUAACCAUCCCUAUGUACAUUACCUGGUAUAAAAAGUGGUAAGGGUAUACCGAUACCUGAACUUGUGGAUACCUUCUUCUUCUACACAUCGGUUUAUGAAGAUCCAUAAUAGACAACCGUACAAGGUACUUUUAAGUGUAUACGUUUACAAAGACGAGUCAUCAGGAUCCGCGUACAAACUAGAAACGACCAGUUGAAAACAAUUAUAUCUGAGACUAACAAGACAUUUCUAUACGGAAGGUAUGGAGUAUUGAUGAAGUGAGAGAAGAUCCUCAUGAUAUAUAUACGUACACUAUAAGUGAUAUGGAAAAGAGUAACGGGUAAUGAAGUGCACGUUAUAUUGUAUACAUUCAGUAGAUAGAUGACUAAGACAAUAUAUUUCGAAAGGAAGAACGAGAUGAAUAAUAUCAUACAUGAAGGACAGUACUAACGUCAUACAUCGUCGGUUCCACUAUACGUGCUCGGUUCCACUAUGACUCCUUGAAGAAUCAAGUAUGGCUAAUGUACUCAUAUCUCCUGUUCAAACAAUUUACAAGUACAAAACAAUAACGGUCACUCAACUAUACGUACACAAGACUACUAGGUUGUUUGUGACGGAGAAAACCACUAGUGGGUGGAAAACCUCGUACAACUUGAAACUAAAGUUAGGUACAGGCACAGAAAUACUAGUCAGUAACUGUAACACUCUGACAGUGGAGACACAAUUAUAUCUCGAUAAUAAUCGAAUGAGACGAAAUACUAACUUCUGACGACGAUGAUAAGAUAAGGCACAUAAGAAAAAUAAAUUGUUU